AGUGAACGCUGGCGGCAGGCCUAACACAUGCAAGUCGAACGGCAGCACAGUAAGAGCUUGCUCUUACGGGUGGCGAGUGGCGGACGGGUGAGGAAUACAUCGGAAUCUACUUUUUCGUGGGGGAUAACGUAGGGAAACUUACGCUAAUACCGCAUACGACCUACGGGUGAAAGCAGGGGAUCUUCGGACCUUGCGCGAUUGAAUGAGCCGAUGUCGGAUUAGCUAGUUGGCGGGGUAAAGGCCCACCAAGGCGACGAUCCGUAGCUGGUCUGAGAGGAUGAUCAGCCACACUGGAACUGAGACACGGUCCAGACUCCUACGGGAGGCAGCAGUGGGGAAUAUUGGACAAUGGGCGAAAGCCUGAUCCAGCCAUGCCGCGUGGGUGAAGAAGGCCUUCGGGUUGUAAAGCCCUGUUGUUGGGAAAGAAAAGCAGCAGGUUAAUACCCCGCUGUUCUGACGGUACCCAAAGAAUAAGCACCGGCUAACUUCGUG
rnacentral:rRNA from 1 species